rnacentral:rRNA from 1 species
AGAGUUUGAUCCUGGCUCAGAUUGAACGCUGGCGGCAUGCCUUACACAUGCAAGUCGAACGGUAACAGGUUAAGCUGACGAGUGGCGAACGGGUGAGUAAUAUAUCGGAACGUGCCCAGUCGUGGGGGAUAACUGCUCGAAAGAGCAGCUAAUACCGCAUACGACCUGAGGGUGAAAGCGGGGGAUCGCAAGACCUCGCGCGAUUGGAGCGGCCGAUAUCAGAUUAGCUAGUUGGCGGGGUAAAAGCCCACCAAGGCGACGAUCUGUAGCUGGUCUGAGAGGACGACCAGCCACACUGGGACUGAGACACGGCCCAGACUCCUACGGGAGGCAGCAGUGGGGAAUNUUGGACAAUGGACGCAAGUCUGAUCCAGGCCAUGCCGCGUGCGGGAAGAAGGCCUUCGGGUUGUAAACCGCUUUUGUCAGGGAAGAAACGAGUUUCUCUAAUACAGAGACUUAAUGACNGUACCUGAAGAAUAAGCACCGGCUANCUACGUGCCAGCAGCCGCGGUAAUACGUAGGGUGCANGCGUNAAUCGGAAUUACUGGGCGUAAAGCGUGCGCAGGCGGNUAUGCAGGACNGAUGUGAAAUCCCGGGCUCNACCUGGGAACUGCUGNGUGACUGCAUCNCUGGAGUGCGGCAGNAUGGGGAUGGAAUUUCCGCGUGGUAGCNGGNAANUGCGGUNCAUAUG